AACGAACGCUGGCGGCAUGCCUAACACAUGCAAGUCGAACGAGACCUUCGGGUCUAGUGGCGCACGGGUGCGUAACGCGUGGGAAUCUGCCCCUUGGUUCGGAAUAACAGUUAGAAAUGACUGCUAAUACCGGAUGAUGACUUCGGUCCAAAGAUUUAUCGCCAAGGGAUGAGCCCGCGUAGGAUUAGGUAGUUGGUGGGGUAAAGGCUCACCAAGCCGACGAUCCUUAGCUGGUCUGAGAGGAUGAUCAGCCACACUGGGACUGAGACACGGCCCAGACUCCUACGGGAGGCAGCUGUGGGGAAUAUUGGACAAUGGGCGAAAGCCUGAUCCAGCAAUGCCGCGUGAGUGAUGAAGGCCUUAGGGUUGUAAAGCUCUUUUACCAGGGAUGAUAAUGACAGUACCUGGAGAAUAAGCUCCGGCUAACUCCGUGCCAGCCGCCGCCGUAA
rnacentral:rRNA from 1 species